AGGUGUGUGGAGUACACUUCCCUGACGGCAGACCAACGCAGGAACACCCAUAUCCCAUAAUAUGGGAUAUGAAUAUAGUAAAGCACCAUCAUGUGGAAGACCACCCACAAAGAGAUGUCUCCAGCCCCCAACAGAGAGACCAUGUGAUGAGCCUCCUGUGACAAAUUCUGAUACCGAAGUAGGGCAUAGCUUGGAGGAUAGUCUGUCUCCACACCAAUGUGAUGUUGGCACUCAGUGGCCAGAGCGUAGUGAUCAUGAUUAUUGUUCGAUGAAGUCAACAAAAGAUGCAAGCACACAAACAGAUCCUACACCAUCACUGUCAGCUCAUGACAUGGAUGAUAAAGUGUCAACAUUUUACAUUGGACUAGACAUCAUCAGCUUUUGGCAACUUUUGAACACCAUCAUUGGCUUUCUUCCACAGUCGAAGACGUUCAAAUUAACAGUCCAUGAACAGCUACUGCUGGUCCUAAUGAGGGUUCGGCUUGGCUUAAUGUUCACAGAUUUGGGAUCAGCAGAACUACAGCCUGUGAUAUGUUCGCAAUGUGGAGAGCAACACUUUCCCAAGGGAAAAUCUUUUUUUUGGCUCCCUCGAGACACUCUGAAUAGAGUAAGACCCUCAAGUUUUCUUGAACACUAUCCCAAUGCAACAUGCAUCAUAGAUUGCACUGAAAUAUUUGUCCAAAGACCGAAGAACUUGGGGAAAAGAGCAAAAACAUACAGCAACUAUAAGCAUCACAACACCUACAAAGUCCUCUAUUGCAUAGCCCCCCAAUGGUUUUGUGAUGUAUUGUGUCAAAACUGUUUGGUGCCAGAGCUAGUGACAUUUUUAUCACAAAAAACUGUGGAUUUCUGUCACAUUUGAUUUUUGGUGAUCAGAUUUUGACAGACCGGGGAUUCACAAUUGGAGAUGUUCUUCCUCCAGGAGUGACAUUGGCUAUUCCAGCACUUACACGUGGAUGUACACAACUAUCAGAACAUGAAGUCACAAGAACCCGCCGUCUCGCCAAUGUCCGAAUUCAUGUUGAACGUGCAAUAAGAAGGUUAAAAUGCUUCAAAAUUUUGAGUAAUGUAAUUCCAGGUUGUUUAAAACAUGUUGAUGACAUUUUGACUAUUUGUGCAGGCCUGUGUAACCUUCUUGAAAUCUUACAAACAUGUUUGGCAUACACUACACUUGUCCCUGUCUGUAGGCCUACAUGUCAGCAUCAUCUUCCAACUUGUCAGCGAUAAUAUGCCCAAGAUAUUUUGUACUGCUUGACACACAGUGAUUGCCCUGACAGGUAAAACGUUGGAAAGACUUCCUGAACACAACACUUUUUUUGCAUUGUACUGUAUUUUUUUGCAUUGUACUGUAGGCCUACAUCAAACUCAACCCCAGAGCACACAUUCAGAAGUUGCUGAAACUCAACAGUGCCGGGGGACAUGGGCCUAAUAACCAGAUCAUCAAAUGGUUGAAAACGGUCAAGGUGGCCUAAGGUGCUGGGGGAAACUCUCUCUCUAGGCUAGGCCUAAUCAGAAAGCAAGGUGUGUGUGUGUGUUUUUUUUUUUAAACCUGUCAUUAAAGGGACACUGCAAGAUUUAUAGUUGUUUAUUUCCAGAAUUCAUGCUACUCAUUCACUAAUGUUACAUUUUUCAUGAAUAUUUACCACCACCAUCAAAUUCUAAGUAUUCAUUAUGACUGGAAAAAUUGCACUUUUCAUACAUACAAAGGGGGAUCUCCUCCAUCAUGGUCUGCCAUUUUGAAUUUCCAGAAAUAGCCAUUUUUAGCUGCAAAAAUGACUGUACUUGGGCCAUAACAGAAAAUCUGAGUUUAUUAUUUAGUAAACUUUCAUGAAAUAUACUUUCAUCAAAUUUGGCAAUAGGCAACCCAGUUACAAUGAGCAGUAUAGUUGCAGUACCCUUUUUGAUGAGUGGAGGUGCAAAACGCACACCAGAAACAGAGGUGCUGGCAACCAGAAAAAGCAAUUGUAGAAGGAGAGAGGUGCCGCACACUCACAAGUUAAAUAAACAGUUUUUUAAUGUGACACACCCUUUUUGACCAUUUCCUGCAGUGUCCCUCUAACUGAUAAAAUAAAGCCUUGUUGGCCUCAACAUGUCAUUAAUUUCACCAUGUAAAUCGUGCCUUGCAAGAACUGAUAUUUUGAGGCAGUGUUAAGACAGUGGGUUGCACCAGCUGAUUGCUUAGGCUACUUAACCACAGCCCUUUUAGAAGACAUCACCUCCCGUCCUCUCCUUGUGGUAGCGUCUCCAGCAAUAAGUAAGGAUUUGGCGCCCCUUAGUGGCAAGCUGUGCACCCAGCGAUGAACAAACAGACUGCAAAACUCAGACAAUCGCAUAUUAUGUGGCAGAGGUAAUGAUAAAAUGAUGUCUGGUAUAGUCAGGAGGUAAUGAAAAAAGCCAGUAUAACAUUUCCCAAUCAAUAUAAGGGGGAUAAUGAUUAAUUAAAUUGAAUGUGUGACAGUGGCACCAGCUCUCUGUUAAGACUGGACACCACAGGUCAGCUCCUGUGUCUAUUCCACAACACACUACAGCAAGAUUUUACAUUACAUUACAUUUCACUUAGCUGACGCUUUCAUUUGUUCAAAGCGACUUACAACUAUUAUUUUUCAGGAUAUUGGUUACAGUCCCUGGAGCAAUGUGGGGUUAGGUGCCUUGCUCAAGGGCACUUCAGCCAUGGAUGGAGGUGUAGGGAGAGGUCGUGGGGGAUUCGACAACCCCUAGAUUGAAAGACCAACUCUC